ensembl:lncRNA
CGUAAGGACCCAACGUCCUCCAGUCCCGGGCCGAGGCGUAACCCUUCAGCCAAUCCGGGACUAAGGGCAAAACCAAUAGACUCGUUGUUGGAGGGGGUGACUUGGAGAGCAUCCCGGGAAGCUAGGCGUUUUGGGUGAAGCCAUGAGGGAAAACAAGGCAGAAAUAAAGAGCUCUUCAAUAGAUUUCCAAUAAAGCAGCCCCCUUGCCUGUGUUUUCUGUGCAGUAAACAGUGCCUGGAGACAUGGUGACCCUGAGUCCUGCUUCCCUGAGAAUCCUCUCCUCAAAAUGUGUCUAUUGAUACCAUCCAUUUGGUGAACUGUUGUCAAGUACCAGAAGGAAGAAGAGGCCCUUCUCCCUUCCUAAGCUGUCGCCUGACCUGGUCAUGUAGGGGGAACCUUCAUUUAACCCUUCUCAAUCGGUUUCCCUUAUCCUCAGUUCUUUGAAGGCCAAACUGCCCAAACAAAUCCUCUACAUGUGUUCCUCCUGUUUCUCCAAGGAUCACCUUGAUAAGCUCAGUCACCCUUUCUCACUCUUGUUU